rnacentral:tRNA from 3 species
UGGGGUGUGGCCAAGCGGUAAGGCAGCGGUUUUUGGUGCCGUGCAUCGGAGGUUCGAAUCCUUUCACCCCAA